ensembl:lncRNA
CAUCACCCAGCUUCUGGUAUCAUCCUUUGAGAUGCUUUCCCAAACCUUUGCUGCAGCCAAGUUUUAACUUUUGCACUUUUUGGGGAAUUUCUGACUUCAAUCUACUCCUCAGCAUGUGUGUAUGAAUAAAUAAUAAAAAUACAUUUUACUGCAGCUGGGGACUUUAACAUCAGUUGGAUUUAACAACCUGUUUUGACUUCAAAACAGAGUGAAUUACCAGACCAUCAAAUAUGGUAUUAGAAGAUGUUGAUCACCCAUUCAGUGACAUGGCUAUGAAGGAGAAAGCCAGAGAGGCUGAGAGGUGGACCAAGUUGAAUGAGGCUGUUCUAGAGACAGUUGUGCCAAUUCAGUCACUUGAGGUCAAAGAACAGACUGAAAUGCGGGCUGAGUUGGAUGAUGCCAUCCCAUCUCUGUCAGAGAAGACUGCAGUUGGGACCUCCAGUACAAGGUUGGCAAUCCCCCAGGCUCCAUUGUCUGCCUUGGAGCAGAAAAUGGAUGACAAACAAUGGAAACAACUGAACAGGAAUGUGUGUGUGAAGAUGAGCAGAGUAGACCUUUCUGCCAAGUGCAAGGACACCAUAGGAUUGGUGAAGGAGUCUACGGCCCCUGUUGUCAUUUCAGCGAUUGACCUCGACAUGGAGCUCUCAGAUUCAUC